GGGAUAAACCCGGAAACUGGGUAUAAUACCCGAUAGUCUUGAUUGCUGGAAUGCAUCGAGAUUUAAAGCUCCGGCGCCUAAGGAUGGUCUGCGGCCUAUCAGGUAGUAGUGGGUGUAGCGUACCUACUAGCCUACGAUGGGUACGGGUUGUGAGAGCAAGAGCCCGGAGAUGGAUUCUGAGACACGAAUCCAGGCCCUACGGGGUGCAGCAGGCGCGAAAACUUUACAAUGCUGGCAACAGCGAUAAGGGAACCUCGAGUGCCAGGUUACAAAUCUGGCUGUCGAGAUGCCUAAAAAGCAUUUCAUAGCAAGGGCCGGGCAAGACCGGUGCCAGCCGCCGCGGUAACACCGGCGGCUCGAGUGGUAACCGUUAUUAUUGGGUCUAAAGGGUCUGUAGCCGGCCGGAUAAGUCUCUUGAGAAAUCUGGCAGCUUAACUGUCAGGCUUUCAGGAGAUACUGUCUGGCUCGAGGCCGGGAGAGGUGAGAGGUACUUCAGGGGUAGGGGUGAAAUCUUGUAAUCCUUGAAGGACCACCAGUGGCGAAGGCGUCUCACCAGAACGGACCUGACGGCAAGGGACGAAAGCUAGGGGCACGAACCGGAUUAGAUACCCGGGUAGUCCUAGCCGUAAACGAUACUCGCUAGGUGUCGGCCACGGUGCGACCGUUGUCGGUGCCGUAGGGAAGCCGUGAAGCGAGCCACCUGGGAAGUACGGCCGCAAGGCUGAAACUUAAAGGAAUUGGCGGGGGAGCACCACAACGGGUGGAGCUUGCGGUUUAAUUGGAGUCAACGCCGGG
rnacentral:rRNA from 1 species